rnacentral:rRNA from 1 species
GAAUAUUGGACAAUGGGCGAAAGCCUGAUCCAGCCAUGCCGCGUGUGUGAAGAAGGUAUUCGGAUUGUAAAGCAAUUUAAGUUGGGAGGAAGGGCAGUAAGCGAAUACAUUGCUGUUUUGACGUUACCGACAGAAUAAGCAACGGCUAACUCUGUGCCAGCAGCCGCGGUAAUACAGAGGGUGCAAGCGUUAAUCGGACUUGCUGGGCGUAAAGCGCGCGUAGGUGGUUCGGUAAGUUGGAUGUGGAAUCCCCGGUCUCAACCUGGGAACUGCAUCCAAAACUGGCGAGCUAGAGUAGGGCAGAGGGUGGUGGAAUUGCCUGUGUAGCGGUGAAAUGCGUAGAUAUAGGAAGGAACACCAGUGGCGAAGGCGACCACCUGGGCUCAUACUGACACUGAGGUGCGAAAGCGUGGGGAGCAAACA